rnacentral:rRNA from 1 species
UUAACAAAAACAUGUCCUUUUGAUUUUAAUUUAAGGUCUGAUCUGCCCAAUGAUAAUUUUAAUGGCCGCGAUACUUUGAUCGUGCGAAGGUAGCAUAAUCAUUAGUUUUUUAAUUGAAAGCUGGUAUGAAAGAUUGGACAAGAAUCUGACUGUCUCUAUUUUAUAUUUUGAAUUUUAUUUUUGAGUUAAAAAGCUUAAAUUUUUUUGUAGGACGAGAAGACCCUAUAGAGUUUUUAUAUUCUUUAUCUAAUAAUUAAUUAUAGAUUUAAAUUUAUUUAGUUGAAAGAAUAUUUGGUUGGGGUGACAGAAAAAUUUUAUAAACUUUUUCUUUAUAAAAUAUUAAUUUAUAGAUUUUUGAUUUAAUUUUUUAAUUAUAAGAUUAAAUUACCUUAGGGAUAACAGCGUAAUUUUUUUAGAGAGUUCUUAUCGAAAAAGGAGAUUGCGACCUCGAUGUUGGAUUAAAGUUAAAAUUUGGUGUAGUAGCUAUAAUUUUUAGUCUGUUCGACUAUUAAAACUUUACAUGAUCUGAGUUUAAACCGGCGUGAGCCAGGUUGGUUUCUAUCCUCAAUAUUUUAAAAUAUUUUAGUACGAAAGGACCAAGUAUUUUUUAAAUUAAUUUUAUCUUGAUUUAUAUU